rnacentral:rRNA from 1 species
UGUAAGCGUAUACCAAAGUUGUUGCAGUUAAAACGCUCGUAGUCGGAAUUUGGCAGUUCCGGAUGUGUGCACGUCGUGUGCGCACUUCGCGGGGAUUGCUUUUGUGGUCUUGCGUAGGAUGAGGCACUUUUAUUAGUGAACGUCCUCACGCAACCACUUUUUACUGUGAGAAAAUCAGAGUGCUCAAAGCAGGCAUUUGCCGUGAAUGUAUUGGCAUGGAAUAAUAGAAUAGGACUUGGUUCUAUUUUGUUGGUUUGUUGGGACUGAGUAAUGAUUAAGAGGGACAGUUGGGGGCAUUUGUAUUUCGGUGCUAGAGGUGAAAUUCUUAGAUUACCGAAAGACAAACUGCUGCGAAAGCGUCUGCCAAGGAUGGUUUCAUUGA